UGCUAGCCACUUCAUUUGGUACCCCUUCAAUCACAUCAGUAAUGCUUGAUUCUUUGUUGUUGUCCUCUUCAACAACCUUUUCCGCUACUACAGGAGAAGGUUCCACAGUAUUUGCUUGAGGUUCUUCAUUCGAUGAAACUUGUGCUGCAGUUUCAGUGAAGCUAGUUUCCCCCUCUUUGUCAGUUUUCACAAUAUUUGCUUGAGGUUCUUUAUUGUCAUCCUCUUCAGCAACGUUUUCUGCUACUACAGGAGAAGGUUCCACAGUAUUUGCUUGGGGUUCUUCAUUCGAUGAAACUUGUGCUGCAUUUUCAGUGUGGCUAGUUUCCUCCUCUUUGUCAGUUUUCACAAUAUUUGCUUGAGGUUCUUUGUUGUCAUCCUCUUCAACAACCUUUUCGGCCACUACAGGAGAAAGAUCCACAAUAUUUGCUUGAGGUUCUGCAUUGGAUGAAACUUGUGUAACAUUUUCAGUGUGGCUAGUUUCCUCAUCCUUGUCAGUUUUAACUUCCUUGAUCGUGUCAUCUGAAGUUCCUUCACUCUUGGAGAUCUGAAGCACAACUUCAGCAGAAG
rnacentral:lncRNA from 1 species